AAAUGUGCUCUUUUAAUAUUUGUCCAGUAGGUUUGCUCAAGGAGAAAGCCCCC
ensembl:snRNA U7 U7 small nuclear RNA